rnacentral:tRNA from 1 species
GCACCCAUAGUUUAAUGGAUAGAAUUACGGAUUCCGGUUCCGUCGGUUGGAGUUCGAGUCUCCAUGGGUGUA